GCUAUCCUCUGCAGAUUUUAAAAGAUGUGCUCGUCUGCUGACUCAACUGGCCAGGAGCCCUCGCUGUACAGAGAGAUAAACACCUACAACGACGCUGGACAGGAAGUGUUGCCGUGACAAUGAGGAAGAGGAGGCGGGGCUUACCGACGAGGUUCAUCACUGUAGAAGUUCUCCAGCCAAUAGAAACUCAGUGCUGCAGCCAAUGGACUCUGCCGACUGCACUGUUUGCUGUUCUGCUGUUCUGUCAGACGACCAAUCAGCUCGCACCUCUGGACCGAACGGAUUCGUUUUGUUUCUGGAAUUAGAUUUGGACGGAAUCUGGACCACCGAUCCGGUGCUGGACCUGGUUCUCCUGGGUUCUAACAGAGCGCAAACUGAUGGCUGUUUUGGUUUCCUGGACCAUGAAGUGCUUCUGUAGAGGAACCGAGGACCAAAGCUUCAUAACCGCUUAUUAAAAACUGAUGUUUCCAACAAUAUUCUGUGUAUUUAUUCUGUUGAUGCUGAAACGCAGCGAGGAAUAAAGGCAAAUGUUUCAUAGAUA